rnacentral:rRNA from 1 species
AGAGUUUGAUCCUGGUUCAGAAUGAACGCUGGCGGCGUGCUUAACACAUGCAAGUCGUACGAGAAAUCCUCUGCUUGCAGGGGAGAGUAAAGUGGCGCACGGGUGAGUAUCGCGUGGGUAAUCUACCCUUGAAUUCAGGAUAACAUUUCGAAAGGGGUGCUAAUACUGGGUAACAUCCUGAUGGUUUCGGCCAUAAGGAUCAAAGAUAGCCUCUACAUGUAAGCUAUAGUUCAGGGAUGAGCCCGCGUACCAUUAGCUAGUUGGUGGGGUAAGGGCCUACCAAGGCAACGAUGGUUAGCUGGUCUGAGAGGAUGAUCAGCCACACUGGAACUGAAACACGGUCCAGACUCCUACGGGAGGCAGCAGUGAGGAAUUUUGCGCAAUGGGGGAAACCCUGACGCAGCAACGCCGCGUGAGUGAAGAAGGCUUUCGGGUCGUAAAGCUCUGUCAAGAGGGAAGAAUGUAGGAGAUGGUAAUACUAUUUUCUAUUGACGGUACCUCUGAAGGAAGCACCGGCUAACUCCGUGCCAGCAGCC